GUCUAUGACCUGGAAGACUCCUCCCCGCUUCGAGUUAUCCUGCUUUUCCGACUGAACCAGUGUUCAUCUUACAUAUAUGGAUUGAUGUCUCAUGUUGCCCUAAAAUCUCUAAAACCAAACCUGCCA